rnacentral:rRNA from 1 species
UACGAAGGGUGCAAGCGUUAAUCGGAAUUACUGGGCGUAAAGGGCGCGUAGGCGGCCAUCUAAGUCAGACGUGAAAUCUCUGGGCUUAACCCAGAGUCUGCUUCCGAAACUGCCGUGCUGGAGUGCGGGAGAGGCGAGUGGAAUUGCAGGUGUAGCGGUGAAAUGCGUAGAUAUCUGCAGGAACACCAGAGGCGAAAGCGGCUCGCUGGACCGCAACUGACGCUGAGGGACGAAAGCUAGGGGAGCAAACAGGAUUAGAUACCCCGGUAGU